AGCGGUAGAGAGAAGCUUGCUUCUCUUGAGAGCGGCGGACGGGUGAGUAAUGCCUAGGAAUCUGCCUAGUGGUGGGGGAUAACGUUCGGAAACGGACGCUAAUACCGCAUACGUCCUACGGGAGAAAGCGGGGGACCUUCGGGCCUCGCGCCAUUAGAUGAGCCUAGGUCGGAUUAGCUAGUUGGUGAGGUAAUGGCUCACCAAGGCUACGAUCCGUAACUGGUCUGAGAGGAUGAUCAGUCACACUGGAACUGAGACACGGUCCAGACUCCUACGGGAGGCAGCAGUGGGGAAUAUUGGACAAUGGGCGAAAGCCUGAUCCAGCCAUGCCGCGUGUGUGAAGAAGGUCUUCGGAUUGUAAAGCACUUUAAGUUGGGAGGAAGGGUAGUAACUUAAUACGUUGCUACUUUGACGUUACCGACAGAAUAAGCACCGGCUAACUUCGUGCCAGCAGCCGCGGUAAUAC
rnacentral:rRNA from 1 species